ACUCCCUGCGGGAGGCAGCAGUGGGGAAUAUUGGACAAUGGGCGCAAGCCUGAUCCAGCCAUGCCGCGUGAGUGAUGAAGGCCCUAGGGUUGUAAAGCUCUUUCACCGGAGAAGAUAAUGACGGUAUCCGGAGAAGAAGCCCCGGCUAACUUCGUGCCAGCAGCCGCGGUAAUACGAAGGGGGCUAGCGUUGUUCGGAAUUACUGGGCGUAAAGCGCACGUAGGCGGAUCGAUCAGUCAGGGGUGAAAUCCCAGGGCUCAACCCUGGAACUGCCUUUGAUACUGUCGAUCUGGAGUAUGGAAGAGGUGAGUGGAAUUCCGAGUGUAGAGGUGAAAUUCGUAGAUAUUCGGAGGAACACCAGUGGCGAAGGCGGCUCACUGGUCCAUUACUGACGCUGAGGUGCGAAAGCGUGGGGAGCAAACAGGAUUAGAUACCCCUGUAGUCCCAUGA
rnacentral:rRNA from 1 species